AAGCCGCAGCCCCAUUUCGCUUGGCAGAGCCUUUACAGCGACACUUUUAAAACAAAGACAAUUGCACCCGGUAAUAACAGGUAUACAAUACUGAGCAAGUACAAAAGGAAACCAAUCAAGAUUAUACGAUAUUUGUACAAUACUCCCAAACAAGAAAACAGAACCUACAUGCUAACGUACAUAGCACCCAAAGUACUGUUCGACACGUUGAAGAGGUCAAAAUUAUUGUUCACAUAAGGUAUAUACAUAUUCGUAUAGCGCUACCAAUCCCUGCAAAAUAUAGAACGCAGAUUUUCAUUACACACACGCACGUGCACAGCACACACACCAAAAGGAAACGGCAACGCGCUCACAGGAAGCGCCUGAAAAACGAAAAAAAAAGGAAAAGUGUGGGGAACCGAGGUCGUCUUGGGCUGUCGCCUCUCCCUCUCCCAGAAGGAAUGAAGAGGUUCUUGGAAAGCAGGGACGGGCGAUUCUCUCUGUCAGCAUCAGCUCCCACCAGCGAGGACGGGGGCGAGAAAGCGAAACGGGACUUUCCUUGCUGUCUAUUUUUUCUUCGUCAGGCCAACGCCGCUUGCUUGCAGGGGCGCAGGCGAGUUCCCGCCAAAUGGCGCGGGUGCGUGAGUUGCCGCCAAAUGCUAGCUCUGGAUGCCAGCUCGUUCCGCGUCUCUUGGUAGACUAGUUGGUGCAUUUCUGUUAUCAUGGACUGCGCAUAUAAACGCAAGCUACACAAAAGUGACAUGGACAAGAACAGCGCAAGCCCUUUACAUGCAGUGGAGCCGCCGUAUCUCGCCGUUCAAGAUAUGCGUACUCGUAAGUGGCAUUUUAAUUUCACGUUGUGUAAUGCAUGACUGUCUUUUUCAAGUGAACAAAGGUCGCUUUGUAUUGUGUAAAUGGUUUUGCAACGUAUGAUAAACUCCUUGUCUUUCGGGCUUAUUUUUUCUGACAGGAAGAAAAAAAAAAAGAGGCUUUACAUGAGAACGGAUCAAGCGUUCGAGAGUUGGGACAGGGAAAUGUGAGACGUACUUUCAUGUAUAUAUUUCUAAUAUUAUUUUUUCGUCUUGUAUUCUCGUUAAUUUUUCUCUAGGAAACACUGGAACGAGACUGCUUAAAUUGAAGCACAGUGUGCGAAUGACCUGCUACGCUCGGAACUGUUAUCACCAUUCGGGAAGAAAUUGGAUGAAAAAACAUAACUCUAAAUACCUGUAUGAUAUACGUCUGGUGCAUUGCAGGUAAGAAUGGAUUGUGUGUGGCGCGCUUCACCGCAUGUGGACUAGAGUAGAUCUAGGAACAUCAGACAAGAAGACACGUAUGUGAAACCCUGCGGAUAGCCCAUAUGUGAACUUUUUUUCCAGAUACGGAGGAACGGACACCGGUCGUGCCGUGAGCACUAUUCUGCAGGGCAUACUUACAAAUGAAGCUGCACUGCAGUUCAGCUGGAAAGGGUCGCAGGGGAGGAAGCACGCCUUCGUGAAGCUCAUGGCCAUCACGAAUAUAACAUCUGUGAGGAGCACGUUCCCUGACGCUUCACUAGCAUCAGUGGCUGGAGUCGCAAAACGCUGGUUGGUUGGAGCAGCUGACAGGGAUGGAGGCCGGAAUGAAAGAAGGCGCCGUGACCCUGCUUCAAGCCCACCAAAUAUGAACUAGUGUUUGAAACUUGUGAACGUGUCGGUGUACAUAUACAAUUACAAGAAAUAAAGACCUGUAUCAGAA